GAGAAGGCUGAGUGCCAUGAGAGCAAGCCCCGGGGCAUAAGCGCUUAACCUCUGACUGUAUCCCAGGUGCCUUAUUGGCCAGAGCAUGUCAUACAGCCAAGCUGCGCAUCAACACAGAAAGGGACCACACAAAGGCACGAUAGCAGGUGGAUUCGUGUUGAAUCACUGUUGGGAGACAGCUGGCCACAGACAUCUUACCUGCCCCUGAGGAUCCAGCUGUUUCCUGCAGCCUCCUGCUAAGAUGUGAGCUCUGAGCUGGAAGACCCAACUCCAAGAUUAGCCCAAUCUUCUGCCCUUGCCCUCCACUUCCUGGACUUCCCUGUAGAGCUGUGGAGGAUGUGAUUGCUUGGCCUUCUGCUCCUCCUGCCUCCCUACUCACACUUCUCUUUCCUGCAAGUGUUCGUAAAAAAAUAAGAUGACACGCAAGGGUCUAUAAAGCAAUACCCAGAGAUGAACGGACAGCCCAAAUGUGACCAAACCAAAGCCUGUGAGCUAGAGGGACAAUCUUCGGGAAGGAAAACAGAAGGAGACUGGGAAGGGAUGGGGCCGAGACGUGGAAAGAAUGCUGGGAAUGUCAACCAGCUAAACACACCUUAGACAUGUCACCACCACCCUCACAGUCCAUUCACUCUUGUGACAACUGAGGAAGCUUUGAGGUUUUCCCUGCCUUACCUCAGACCCUCCUCAGCCCCUGGCUGUACCUUCUUUCAUACAGAGCUCACUGCCAGGACUCAGCAAGUCAUAAAUAAUGGCAAAAUAAAGCUUAUUGGAUGGAG